rnacentral:rRNA from 1 species
GAUGAACGCUGGCGGCGUGCCUAAUACAUGCAAGUCGAGCGAACGGACGAGAAGCUUGCUUCUCUGAUGUUAGCGGCGGACGGGUGAGUAACACGUGGAUAACCUACCUAUAAGACUGGGAUAACUUCGGGAAACCGGAGCUAAUACCGGAUAAUAUUUUGAACCGCAUGGUUCAAAAGUGAAAGACGGUCUUGCUGUCACUUAUAGAUGGAUCCGCGCUGCAUUAGCUAGUUGGUAAGGUAACGGCUUACCAAGGCAACGAUGCAUAGCCGACCUGAGAGGGUGAUCGGCCACACUGGAACUGAGACACGGUCCAGACUCCUACGGGAGGCAGCAGUAGGGAAUCUUCCGCAAUGGGCGAAAGCCUGACGGAGCAACGCCGCGUGAGUGAUGAAGGUCUUCGGAUCGUAAAACUCUGUUAUUAGGGAAGAACAUAUGUGUAAGUAACUGUGCACAUCUUGACGGUACCUAAUCAGAAAGCCACGGCUAACUACGUGCCAGCAGCCGCGGUAAUACGUAGGUGGCAAGCGUUAUCCGGAAUUAUUGGGCGUAAAGCGCGCGUAGGCGGUUUUUUAAGUCUGAUGUGAAAGCCCACGGCUCAACCGUGGAGGGUCAUUGGAAACUGGAAAACUUGAGUGCAGAAGAGGAAAGUGGAAUUCCAUGUGUAGCGGUGAAAUGCGCAGAGAUAUGGAGGAACACCAGUGGCGAAGGCGACUUUCUGGUCUGUAACUGACGCUGAUGUGCGAAAGCGUGGGGAUCAAACAGGAUUAGAUACCCUGGUAGUCCACGCCGUAAACGAUGAGUGCUAAGUGUUAGGGGGUUUCCGCCCCUUAGUGCCGCAGCUAACGCAUUAAGCACUCCGCCUGGGGAGUACGACCGCAAGGUUGAAACUCAAAGGAAUUGACGGGGACCCGCACAAGCGGUGGAGCAUGUGGUUUAAUUCGAAGCAACGCGAAGAACCUUACCAAAUCUUGACAUCCUUUGACAACUCUAGAGAUAGAGCCUUCCCCUUCGGGGGACAAAGUGACAGGUGGUGCAUGGUUGUCGUCAGCUCGUGUCGUGAGAUGUUGGGUUAAGUCCCGCAACGAGCGCAACCCUUAAGCUUAGUUGCCAUCAUUAAGUUGGGCACUCUAAGUUGACUGCCGGUGACAAACCGGAGGAAGGUGGGGAUGACGUCAAAUCAUCAUGCCCCUUAUGAUUUGGGCUACACACGUGCUACAAUGGACAAUACAAAGGGCAGCGAAACCGCGAGGUCAAGCAAAUCCCAUAAAGUUGUUCUCAGUUCGGAUUGUAGUCUGUAACUCGGCUACAUGAAGCUGGAAUCGCUAGUAAUCGUAGAUCAGCAUGCUACGGUGAAUACGUUCCCGGGUCU